rnacentral:rRNA from 14 species
CAAAGGAAUUGACGGGGGCCCGCACAAGCGGUGGAGUAUGUGGUUUAAUUCGAUGCAACGCGAAGAACCUUACCAGCCCUUGACAUCCUCGGAACGACCUAGAGAUAGGUUGGUGCCUUCGGGAGCCGAGAGACAGGUGUUGCAUGGCUGUCGUCAGCUCGUGUCGUGAGAUGUCGCGUUAAGUCGCUUAACGAGCGAAACCCUUGUCUCUAGUUGCCAGCGAGUAAAGUCGGGGACUCUAGAGAGACCGCCGGCGUUAAGCCGGAGGAAGGUGGGGA